rnacentral:lncRNA from 1 species
CCCUCUAUAUAGAAAAACAUAUCCCAAAUAAAAAGGAAACGAAAUAAGGAAUAAAGUUUUUGGACCCGGUUGCAAUCGACGACACUGACCUACUGACCGUGGACUGACCUACGGUCCGUAGGUCCCUUCCGUGGUUUGGGACUUAGGCAAUUUUCCACAGCUCAAAAUCUCCCCCUCUCAGUGACAUUUGACGAAUCAUCAGUACGGGCCAUGACUCGAUGCACGGUCUGUGGAUCCUCCUCCAUAGUUUCAUACUUAGACUUUUGAAAUCAGGUACUGGAACCCCCUUUUCUGAAUCAUUCGACGGAGCUGCUGGAUAGCCCGUAGGUCGACCUACGGUCCGUCGUUUGUAGUCAUGGUUCCACACUUAGUCAAGAAUUCCCUGAUGUUUCCUUCAAGCCAUGUCUUCCCAUCUACGCCUACUACCUACAGACCGUGACUGGACCUAUAGUCCAUAGGUCACGUCCGUAGGUGCCCUUUUCUGCAACAAUCUUCAGUUGUGUCUCUCUACUUCCACGUCCGAACUUAUUUCCUG